CCACCUUCUGUGGACAUUUGCUGCAUCUUUUACUGGCAACCGAGUGAAUGGAAAUCAUAAUUCUGACAUCAAUUGGCCAAGAAUCUGUGCAUCGUCGGAGAGGGUAGAGGAUGUAUUUCUAGAAAAUCCUUCUGUGAAAGUGAUUUUGAAGGCUCUGUCAUGGCUGCUGGGUUUAAACAUGGGAAUAAAAAGGAAAGCCACGAUGAAAUCCAAGCACCUAAGGAACCUAUACAAAAGGAUACCUCAUCCUUCUGGAAACCUGUCAAAAACUAAUAAGACAAGGACCUUUCUUACUGUCUCGACACAGUCCAGUAUUUCCUGUGUGGGAAUGCAUACAACCUGAACUAUGGAAGGAAUGGA